UUAGGCUUGCAUGACCCCCUCUUGAGUAAUUUGUUGGUUGAAUGGAUCUUUGAAAGAGGGAUUUGUAUGGGCUCUUUUGUAUGCAAAGUUUCUAUCCUGCUGAGAAAAGCAAACAUCUAAUUGAAUCACUUGCUUUUGCAAUCUGUAUUGUCUUUAAUUAAUUAUCUUUUCUUCUACGUUGCCUUUCAGUGGAACUUAAAUCAUAUUUAAAAUAUUUUGAACAUUGUAACUUCUUUUCUAGUGGUAUUAAUAUUUGUGACUGCAUGUUUAAACUAUGCAAAGGUUACUUGGUUGUGGAAACUUAAUUUUUCUUUUGCUUUCAUGCUAAUUUUAUUUUGUAAUUAAAAAUUUUAAUGAGCUAUUGAAGAUAUCAUUUAAUGGAUAAUGGCUUAAAAAUCAAGGGAAUAAAAACAUAUUAGUAUUUGUCUUCGCAUAUGAUGAUGCUGUUGUUGCUUGAAAUGGCAUUGUCUAAACCUGUAUUCGUUUCCUUGGCUGAAGCUGACAUACUGCCGACAAAGUUGAUAAGGAAUUUAUGUUCAUAUAUUCUUUUAUGGGGAAAUCUGAUGCCAGAUAUAUUCACUGUUAAUUAGUGUUGACACUGGCAAGUGGGGAAAAAGUGUUAUAAUGGCAAGAGGAGAAAUAAAGUCAUGAAAAAUUUUAGAUAAGCAAUAUUAGAAGAGUACAAGGAAAAAAUGAUAUUACCACUUCAGAUUGGGAAUUCUGAAAGGCCCCCUUUACAAAAGCUUAUGGCUUAAGCUCAUCAACUUAAUCGUCAGAAACAGCAGGCCAACCUUAAUUACAGAAGUUCAGAAAUCAUUGUAGGCAGAUCUAAUGGUUAGUUUUGUUGUAAAUUGAAAACUUGUUUAUGAUAUGAGAUAUAUUGUUUACUCUUCUGGAAACUUUUAGGUGACAUGGAAUCUAUGACUCCUUAUCUCCAUCAUGGGGAACAAUCAGAGAAAUGGUUUAUAUUCCAUUAUAUGAUAAAUUUCAAUUCUUUGGGCACUGUAUCCUACUUCCUCACAAAACAAAGUUUGAAAAAGAAACGGUAGGGAAAAAAAUAAUUAAAAAGGAAAAGAAAAAUAUAAAGAACUUUAAGUCAAGGCAAAUAACAACCAUGCUACAUAAACAUCUUGAUUGGGGAUGUUAAUAAGGAGCAAUUAAUUCUGGGCAUUUCAUUCAGGUCCUAAAUCUAAGACCAAUCCAACCAAAUCCAAUAGGCCUAAUCCUGUCCCGACCUAGUCUGACCAUAUUUUUCCCUUGCCUACUGAACCUGACCUUCCCAACCUGAAAAGGGGAAAAGAAAAAGGGAAAAAGGGCAAAAAGUAUGAGCAUGAAAGCAAAGUUGUGCCUCUUUGUAGAACAUCAAAUAUUACCCUGUUAUCUGCAAAUCCUAAAUAAUGUCACUUUUACUUCAGGAAUUUCUGAAGAAACAAGAAUAGUUAGAACUACACUGUUAUCAUAGAAUAGAAAUGGCCGGUACUUUUUCCUAUUUUCAUUUAUGAAGAUUAUCGAGCUCUUCCGACUCUUUAUAGGAUCAUGAGAUAUGGUGAGGGUGGUGGUGCUUGGCCUUAAAUUACUAGUAGGGCUGCAAUCGAGCCGAGCUGAGCCGAAUAGUUAAAAGCUCGCGCUGGACUCAAUUCAAAUUAUUUGGACUCGAAACUUGACUCGAGACAAAGCUAAUAAUAUCUUCAUGUUAAUAACUUUCCGAGAAGGAGGAGAACCUGUUGAAGAUUGAUUGCCAAAGCUUCAUACAAGUAGCUAAUCUUUCCCCAUUUCACUACGCAAAGGGGGGAAUAGAAUAGAUUGAGACGCAUGGAUAUUGAACUAGAGAAGGUUAGUAAUAUUAUAUAUUUUAUAUUUUUCUCGUUUUGAAGAUUAAAUUGUCUCUUCUAUAUCAUCCAGGUUUAGUAAUAUAUUAAGAUGCUAACCCUCAAAACGUGUGAAUUAAUAAGAAUAUGCACUGGUAAAGUAAACUUUUACGACGUUGAUGUAAAACUACAAUAAAUUGGCCAUGCUGCGCUAUCCCGAACAAAGGGGAGGAGAUAUCCUAAACUAAAUGGGAAUAGGCUAAACCAUGGCACCUCCAAAGAAUCUCCACACUCUCUAAGCCGAGAAGCAGCUGAAAACGAUAUCCUCCUUUGUCCCGGCCCCCACCAACUUGCCACCCUUCUCCCUCCCGAACCCGGCCAUCCAAGCGUUCGUCGGCUUCUUCUCCUCGCCGGCCGAUUCCGAGACCACCUCCCGCCGUUUCCCAUCGUCGGCGGCCACCCGCAUCUGCCUCUCUCUCCGCCGUUUGAUCACGUAUUCCUCCGAGAUGUACACGUCCAUCGCCGAUUUGAAUUACCCACAAUGCCCUCCCCUGGUGCCUGUUAUAGCUCUUGCUAUAGCUAAGCAGGCAAAGUUAGGGAGGGCUCUGCAGCUGGUAGCAAUGUGGGGUAUGGCUUCGGA
rnacentral:lncRNA from 1 species